UCAAGCUAAUAAGAGCACAGGGUGGAUGCCCAGGCACCAAACGCCGAUGAAAGACGUGGCAAGCUGCGAAAAGUCACGGGGAACCGCAAGCAGGUAUUGAUCCGUGAACGUCUGAAUGGGGAAACCCGGCGGGUUAACAGCCCGUCACUAUUAACUGAAUCAAUAGGUUAAUAGAGGGAACGCGGGGAACUGAAACAUCUCAGUACCCGUAGGAAGAGAAAAUAAAGAAUGAUUUCCUAAGUAGCGGCGAGCGAACGGGAAAGAGGCCAAACCGAAGGGCUUGCUCUUCGGGGUUGUGGAUCAGCAAAAAGGACGGAAGACCUUAGCAGAAGAGGAUUGGAAAGUCCCGCCAGAGAGGGUAAAAGCCCCUUACGCGAAAAGGUCAAACGACGAGCUGACACCAGAGUACCGCAGGACACGAGAAAUCCGGUGGGAAGCCGGGAGGACCACCUCCCAAGCCUAAAUACGAAUUGGUGACCGAUAGCGCAUAGUACCGUGAGGGAAAGGUGAAAAGAACCCCGGGAGGGGAGUGAAAAAGAACCUGAAACCCUGUGUUUACAAGCAGUGAAAGUGCGAGCAAGGCACGAUCACGUACUUUUUGUAGAACGGACCGGCGAGUUACGUUAUGCAGCAAGGUUAAGAACUGAAGGUUCGGAGCCGAAGCGAAAGCGAGUCUGAAUAGGGCGAUAGUUGCAUGACGUAGACCCGAAACCGGGUGACCUAUCCAUGAGCAGGUUGAAGUGGAGGUAAAGCUCCAUGGAGGACCGAACCAGACGUCUGUUGAAAAAGGCGGGGAUGACUUGUGGAUAGGGGAGAAAUUCCAAUCGAACCCGGAGAUAGCUGGUUCUCCUCGAAAUAGCUUUAGGGCUAGCCUCAUGGAUCAUUGAUGGGGGUAGAGCACUGAAUGUGCGCGGGGGCCACAAAGCCUACCAAACGCUAUCAAACUUCGAAUACCAUACAAUGCAGACCAUGGGAGUCAGUCCGCGAGAGAUAAGUUCCGCGGGCAAAAGGGGAACACCCCAGAUCAACCGCUAAGGUCCCCAAGUUCACGUUAAGUGGAGAAGGAUGUGGAAUUGCACAGACAACCAGGAUGUUGGCUCAGAAGCAGCCACACAUUUAAAGAGUGCGUAAUAGCUCACUGGUCGAGUGAUUGUGCGCCGAAGAUGUCCGGGGCUAAACGUGACACCGAAGCGAUGGGUGCGUCUGAAAAAGAUGCGCGGUAGAGGAGCAAUGUGCAGAGGCAGAAGCCGUAUCGAGAGGCACGGUGGACACUGCACAAGAGAGAAUGCCGGUAUGAGUAGCGAGAGGCAUGCGAGAAACAUGCCCGUCGAAAGCCCAAGGUUUCCUGGGGAAGGUUCAUCCGCCCAGGGUAAGUCGGGGCCUAAGCCGAGGACGGAAGUCGUAGGCGAUGGACAGCAGGUGUAGAUUCCUGCACUACCGAUGGAAUGAAGCAGUGACACAGAAGGAUAACUCGAGCAGGGUGAUGGUCAACCCUGUGCAAGCAUCAAGGUUGGGUUGUAGUGAAGUACGCAAUCCUAUAAGCUGAGGUGUGAUGCGGACCGAAAUUUCAGUAGGGAAGCGAGUGAGUUCACGCUGGCGAGAAAAGCUGCUAGUACAUCCAAAGGUACCCGUACCGGAAACCGACGCAGGUGGGCGAGGAGAGAAUCCUGAGACGAACGGGAGAACCCUUGUUAAGGAACUCGGCAAAAUGACCCCGUAACUUCGGGAUAAGGGGUGCCUGCGAGAGCAGGCCGCAGAGAAUAGUCACAAGCGACUGUUUAGCAAAAACACAGGUAUCUGCGAAAGCGAAAGCUGACGUAUAGGUGCUGACACCUGCCCGGUGCUGGAAGGUUAAGGGAACAUGUUAGAGCAAUCGAAGCAUCGAACCGAAGCCCCAGUAAACGGCGGCCGUAACUAUAACGGUCCUAAGGUAGCGAAAUUCCUUGUCGGGUAAGUUCCGACCCGCACGAAAGGCGUAAUGAUUUGAGCACUGUCUCGACAAUGCACCCGGUGAAAUUGAAGUACCAGUGAAGAUGCUGGUUACCUGCGCCAGGACGGAAAGACCCCAUGGAGCUUUACUCCAGCUUGAUACUGGGAUUCGAUAUUGCAUGUACAGGAUAGGUGGGAGACUAAGAAGCGGUGACGCCAGUUGCCGCAGAGUCGCUGUUGGGAUACCACCCUUGCAGUAUUGGAUUUCUAACCAGCAGCCGUGAACCGGCUGGGGGACAAUGUCAGGUGGGGAGUUUGACUGGGGCGGUCGCCUCCGAAAGGGUAUCGGAGGCGCUCAAAGGUUCCCUCAGAAUGGUUGGAAACCAUUCGAAGAGUGCAAAGGCAGAAGGGAGCUUGACUGCGACACCGACGGGUGGAGCAGGUACGAAAGUAGGACUUAGUGAUCCGGUGGUAUAAAGUGGGAUUGCCAUCGCUCAACGGAUAAAAGCUACCCUGGGGAUAACAGGCUUAUCACUCCCAAGAGUUCACAUCGACGGAGUGGUUUGGCACCUCGAUGUCGGCUCAUCGCAUCCUGGGGCUGUAGCAGGUCCCAAGGGUUGGGCUGUUCGCCCAUUAAAGCGGUACGCGAGCUGGGUUCAGAACGUCGUGAGACAGUUCGGUCCCUAUCCGGCGCGGGCGGAGGAUAUUUGAGAGGAGCUGUCCUUAGUACGAGAGGACCGGGAUGGACGGACCACUGGUGUAUCUGUUGUCGACCAACGGCAUGGCAGAGUAGCCAAGUCUGGAAGGGAUAAACGCUGAAGGCAUCUAAGCGUGAAGCCCCCCUCAAGAUGAGAUAUCCCUCCUAUAAGGAGUAAGACCCCUUGAAGACUACAAGGUAGAUAGGGCAGAGGUGGAAGCAUGGCAACAUGUGGAGCUGACUGUUACUAAUAGGUCGAGGGCUUAAUCUG
rnacentral:rRNA from 1 species